CAAAGGUUGCAAUUCUUUUAUGUUUGGCAUGAGGACUCUGGAUUUUCAGUGGAAGAUUUCUAAAAAAGAAAACAGAAAGUAACCUUCAGCAUGCAGUCGAUAUUAUGGUUAGAAAGGAGAUGCGUGAUCUUUCUAAAGAGAAACCACAGGCAUUCUUCUUUAAAAAGACUUUCCUGAAACAGGGAGUUGCACGAUUAGCAAAAUUUAGAUCCAAGGCAGGUUGGUCUGCGGAAAUAGCAUUUUGGCCUUCUUCAGGAGGUAGAUGGAAUAUUCAUAUUCCUGCAGGUGUGAAUAAUCAAGGAUGACACUCUUUUGCUGAAUUGAUUAGUUCCAGUUUGAAGGAUAGCUGCCCCCUCCUUCAAUAGAGUCCUUUGCUUGAAGUUGAUAAUUCUACUAUGGUUGAUCUAUAUCUUCUAGAAGGCCCUAUGCAACUAAAUUGUGGAGAGGCAGCAAAGGUAAAAGAAAGAUCAAGCCCCCCUCCCUUUCCAGUUUGGAUUAGAAAAAAGAAAGAAAGAAAAGAAAUGUUGGAUUUAAAUCUGAAUUCUUUGAUUGUGGUAACGAGAUUAAUGGAGUUCUAUACAUGGCCUGAAGUUAAAACCACCUUAGAAGAUUUUUUCCCAAGGAAAUGUUACAAUUAAUCCCUUCUGUGAUGACAAAGCACUGAUCAAGUUUCAUAUAGAGAUUGAUGAGGAGUUCUUGGAAGGUAAAUGGUAUGAAUACGGUCGGAUGCAUCUGCAGCUUGGGCAUUGGUCAAAACAAAGUUCAUUCCAUCCCAAAAGCUAUCUCAUGUUAUGGUGGUUGGAUUUCAGUUAAGAAUCUUCCUUUACCAUUUUGGAAGAAUUCUGUUUUUGAAGCUAUUGGGCAACAUUUAGGUGGUUUAGUGGAGAUCUCAUCAAAAACACUAAAUUGUUUGGAGUGUUCAUCAGCCUACAUUAAGAUUGAAGAGAAUAUUUGUGGUUAUAUCCCAACCUCUUUGGAUAUUGAAGACUUAUGCUUGGAAACGUGGCUAUUGCUUUUCAAUUUUAUUCGGAUGUCCCCAAAGGGACAAAGUGGCUAUUAUUUUUGAAAGUUCGGAUCUUUGAUCUCCCAAAACAAUCAGCGGCUUGCAAAAGAUGUUUUGGGGCAGAAGACUUUUCGAAUUCCUUGGAUAAAAUCUGCAUUAAAGAAGCAAUGAUGAAUGAAGGAUUCUUGGUCGACACACUAAAGGAGGGAAUUAAAGUAUCGGAAGGUAUUCCAGAGGUCAUUACUUCAGGGAAAGAAGGAAUUUACUCGGAUAACAUGAGGAAGGUUGAAAAGACAAAUUUGCCUGUUGAUUACCAUUCACAGCCAUUUAUUAAUUCGGAGAGAAAAUUUCAGCCCAGACAACGAGGAGAGAAAUGAUUCUUCUUAUUGAAAAUUCAAUUCCAGGCCAAGAAGACAAUUCGACUCUCUUAAUUCCUAAAGACAACCCCAACUGCAAUCUUGAAGGAGACAACUCAAAGUUCAGGAUCCGGAUUUUCAAAACGAAAUUGUAGAAGAGCUUGAGUUUGAGCAAGAUUUCCAUUACAUUAAUGAAGAGGCUUUGAGCCCCAAAAAUCUGGUAUGUUCAUCACCUCGGACCUGUUUUCAAAAGUUCACACAUACAAUGGAUUUCUUGGUGCACCACUCUCAUAAUCUAGAUGAUCUAGAAGAUAAAUGUGUUCGAGUACUCAUUCCACAAGGUUCAAGACCUUCAAGAAAACGUCAUUCCUCUCCAAUAAUCAUUCAACACAAUUUCAGGGUUCUAGGGUCAAAAGUUUCUUUCGUUCAAGGCUCCUUUCCUCAGGAGUAUAAGAAGCCUUCUUCUCAAAGUCAGAAGACGAAUCAUAUAUUAGUAUGAGUAGUGAAGAUUCCGAUCAUGAUGAGCCUGAAAAUGUUGAAGAUUCUUCUACUGAUCAAAUGGGGGAAGCAUACAGAGCACUUUCCUUUCAGUGGUAACAAACUUUUGAAAUAGCACCUCCUAAGGAGGUGUCAUAAGCAUGAAGAUCGUUACUUUGAACACGAGGGGACUUAAUGACAAAUCCAAAUAGUCAGUUUUUAAGCAUUUCUUACAAAAUCAGCAUCUUGAUUUAGUUCUGAUUCAAGAAACCAAGCGACCUAUUGUUGAUGUUCAAUUUGUUAAAUCCAUAUGGAGCUCUAAUGACAUCGGCUGGACAUUUGUGGAAGCAAUCGACAAAUCUGGAGGUAUACUUACCAUGUGGGAUGGAAGCAAAGUUACGCCUCUGGUUCUUGAAAGGCGGUUAUACACAUUUUUCUGUUAAGAUCGUGACUCAAUGCAAAAUCACGUGCUGGGUGGCAAAUGUGUAUAUGUUGCAUCUGAAUAUAGGGAAAGAAGGCAUCUUUGACUGGAACUUGUUUCAAUUUCUAAUUAUUACGAGGAAGCUUGGUGCAUUGGAGGAGACUUCAACAUAACAAGAUGGAGUCAUGAAAGAUUCCCUAUUGGAAGAACUACAAGAGGAAUGAUAAAGUUCAAUAAUUUUAUCCAAUCUAUAGGGUUAUUAGAAACACCAUUAUCCAAUGGAAACUUCACAUGGUCAAGGGAGGGCACUUCGAAAUCACACUCUCUUCUAGACAGAUUCUUCAUCAAUAAAGAUUGGGAUGAUUUGUUUGAUAACUCAAGAGUCAAUAGAAAAGCAAGGCUAUUCUCGGACCACUUUCCCUUGCUCUUAGAGGCUGGAGCAGUCUCUUGGGAUCCUUCCCCUUUUCGAUUUUUCAAUAGUUGGAUGAGGAUUAAUGAGUGCUCGAAGGUCAUCCAAAAGGUUUUGGCUCAUGAUCGAUCAGACGGUUGGGCAGGCUUUACAAUAAGUCUCAAGUUGCGCAAGGUGAAAGAUAAAAUUUAAUCUUGGUUUGUGGACUAUGAACUAUAAAGGAAAAGAAAAGAGAGACUUAUUAUCUUAAUUGACUUUUUUUUAUUCAAAAGCCGAGAGAGACGACCUUUCAAAUGUUGAAUUGGAUAUUAGACUUGCCAUCAAGGGAGAUCUUAUGAAUUGGUACCUUCUGGAGGAGUGGAACUUAAUUCAAAAAAGAAAAUUGAAUUGGUUAAAAUUGGGUGACGAAAAUACUAGCUUUUUCCAUAGAUUUCUUUGAGCAAAGAAGAGGAAGAAUAUGAUUACUGGAUUAGUUUCAAGCAAUGGGUCAAUAUUGCAAUCUUAUUGGGAGAUUGAAUCCGAAAUCUUGAGCUAUUUUGCUUCCUUGUAUUUGAAAAUUCUAGGUUCUCGGGCCAUCCCUUCUGAUAUUUCUUGGAAUCGUAUGUCGGCUGUCAAAAUUCAGCAUUAAUUUCCCCCUUUUGAAGUGAGGAGAUCCUUCAAGCAAUUAAAUCUCUUGGCAAAAACAAAGCUCCCGGUCAGAUGGAUUUAUAGUUGAGUUUUUCAUUGAAGUUUGGCAGAAUUUAAAGGCCGUCUUUCAGAAAAUGUUUCAGGAAUUUCACUCUAGUGGAAAGCUGAAUGCUCACAUCAAGAAGAACUUUAUUUGCCUAAUUCCCAAAAAGAUUGACUCGUCACAAGUCAAAGGCUUUAGACCUAUAAGUCUAACUACCUCCACUUACAAGAUUAUUUCUAAAGUACUCGCUGAGAGGAUUAAAAAGAUAAUCCCAAGCAUUAUCUCUAAUACAUAAAGUGCAUUUGGAGGAAGACAAAUUCUAGACCCCGUUCUAAUUGCCAAUGAAGCAGUUGAAGACUAUUGAGCAAGUAUGAAGAAGGGGUGGAUUCUAAAGCUAGACCUUGAGAAGGCUUUUGACCGGGUUGAUUGGAGUUUUUUAGAAUGGAUUCUUAAUCUUUUGGGGUUUCAUCCAAAAUGGAUAGAAUGGAUUAAUGGGUAUGUUCAAAACCCAAAAUUCUCUGUGUACAUCAAUGGAAGACCUAGAGGACGCAUUCAAGCUUCAAGGGGAAUUAGACAAGUUGAUCCACUAUCACCAUUUCUUUUCCUCAUCAUUAGUGAAGUGCUCAGGGUAUUGGUAAAUAGAGCUCAUGACAGUGGACUGUAUGAAGGGUUUUUGGUUGGCAAAGACGACGUGCACUUAUCAAUUUUGCAAUUCGCAGAUGAUACUCUUCUCGUUUGCAAGCACGAUGAAGCCAUGUUAGACAUUCUUAUUCAAACAAUAAGUUUAUUUGAAUGGUGCUCCAGACAGCAAGUUAAUUGGGAGAAGUCAGCAUUAUUUGGAGUCAAUAUUGAUAAGAAUUCUUUGAUCUCUACUUCCACUAGGCUAAGUUGCAAAGUGGGCAAGUUUCCUUUCACUUCUCUCGGCCUACCUCUUGGUGGAUACCCGAAACAACACUCUUUCUGGCAGCCUAUUAUUGAUAAAGUUCACCUUAACCAAGAUAUAAUUCAACUUAAACUUGAUAGAUGGAAAAGGUAUAACUUGUCUAGAGGGGGUCGUUUAACCUUAUGUAAUGCAGUUUUGGCCAAUCUUCCCACUUCCCACUUACUAUAUGUCUAUAUUUCAAAUGCCUUCCUUGGUGAUCUCAGAGUUGGAGAGAAUUUUAUGUAAGUUUUUUUGGGAAGGUCAAAAAGGCAGCAAGCUGAACCAUCUGGGAAAGUGGGAGUUAGCUUCUAAAUCUCUAAUUGAUGGUGGCCUAGGGAUUGGUAAUCUGAAAAAUAGAAAUACAACCUUGUUGUUCAAAUGGAAUUGGAAGUUUCUUAAGGAACAAGACUCUCUAUGGUGCAAAUUUGUUAAAAGUUGGAGUUGAUCCACAUCUUUGGCACACAUCAGGCAAGCUUGUUUUAAGCCUGAGAAGUCCUUGGAUCAGCAUCUCAAUAACAUGGAGUAAAUUUAGAUCCCUUGAAAAGUUUAGGCUUGGUAAUGGAAGGAAUAUUUUCUUUUGGACAGAUUCAUGGUGUACUAAAGUUCUUCUCAAGGACUGUUUUCCUAAGCUUUUCUGAACUGCUUCAUCUCCAAAGGGUAGUGUUAAUGAUCAUUGGGAUGGGACCCAAAUAUUGGUUCUUGGAACCUCUUACUUCGUAGGAAACUUAAGGAAGAGGAGAUCGUUGAAGUUCAAUAGCUGCUAAGUAGAGUUGAGGGUAGCAGAAUUUCAUCUUUAUAGGACUCGAGAUUGUGGUCUUUGGAUGCAUCAGGAAGGUACUCGGUGAAAUCCUUGUCAAAAUAUUUGAUUGCUUGUUCUCCGAUUGAUAAGGUGUGUUACAAAGCUCUUUGGAAAUCAAAGAGUCCCAAAAGAUUCAAUAUUUUGGCAUGGAUUCUUCUAUAUGGUUCCCUUAAUUGUUCAUCCACUUUGCAACACAAGCUACAGAACAAAUUUCUAUCACCCUUGAUCCGUCCUCUUUGCUUAGACAAUGGAGAAGACAUGCAACAUUUAUUAUUUGAUUGUUCCUUCUCAAGAAAUUGCUGGUGAAAAUUAUUUGCUUGCUUCGGUGUGCAAUGGGUUUUUGGGAACACAACUAAAGACAAUGUUCUCCAUUUGUUGGUUGGUCCUUCUCUUACCUCUAGAGCUCAGAAACUAUGGUCAAAUGCAAUUAAAGCUUUGGUUUCUGAGAUUUGGUUUGAACGUAACUAGAGAAUUUUCCAUGAUAGUUCUAAAGAUUGGCUUGACAGAUGGGGUCCGCCCGCCUCUUAGCUUCUUCUUGGAGUUCGCAAUCUAAGCUUUUGGAAGAUUAUUCCAUUCAGGAUAUUUGUCUUAAUUGGAAUGCUUUUAUCUUUUUUUAUGUAAUCAAGCAAUUUAGUACUUUUGUAUCCUCUUAAUCCUUGUAUCUUGUCAUCGUAUUGGAAAUAGUGAGGGUGCUAUGGGGGUGUCAACAUAGUUGAGAUGUCUGGGUGCGCCCCUGAUCCUCAGAUUUUGAUUGUCUUGGUUUGCUAUUUUGUCUCAUUGUAAUUUGAGCCUAUUGGUCUUUUCAUUAUAUCAAUAAAAAAAAAUCUAUUCUAAUUUGAAAAAAAAAAAAAUACUCGGAUGUUUGAUGAUUUUUACCACUAUGAUUUUUUGAUAAGAAUAGCUUUCAUUGAGAAAAAAAUGAACGAAUAUACGAGAACACAAAAGCCAAGCCCACGAAAAGGGGGAAUCCCUCUACAAGAAGGGACUCUAGUCAUACAAAAUCAUGACUAUAGAAUAAUUACAAAAAACCUUCGAAAUCGAAGCCCAAUGUGAAACAUAAAAACGAACAAGAGACUGAAUUUUUCUAGCAUCCCUCUCAACCCCCUGAACACCCUACUAUUCCUUUCACCCCGCAACUCUAAUAGCACAAAUGCUUGCAAGCUAGAGAAAACGAUCUUUCUCUCCAAACGGUGGAUUAAGGAUGAACUCCUCGAACAUAUCCCUAACAUCUUUGUAACGAGCACACAUCAUACUAAACGUUUGGAAAAAAGAGUCCCAGACAAAGCUCGCAAACUCACAUUGCCAAAGAAUAUGAUCUAAGUCUUCCUUUACCUUCCAACAAAGAAUACAACAAGAAGGCCCAACCAGUGAUGACAUCUUCCUAACAAGUCUAUCCAACAUACUAAUACGACUGUGAAGAACGUGCCAAGUGAAAAAAUCUCAUAUUUCUAGGAAUCUUAAUCCUCCACAGCGACGAAAAGACUGACCCACCCAAAAGAAAAGGAUCAACCAAACAUUGGAAGAAAGACUUACAUGAGAACCCUUCCAAAGGAUUAGGGCUCCAAACUCUCAAAUCUCUCCUCCCAAGACGAAAAGGGUGACUCUCAAGAAGAGAAAGGAGAACAACUACAUUCUGUCGUUUACCUAUCGGAAAGUGCACCACGAAACCCGAAGGAAAACGAACAAAAGCUCCCUAUCCACACAAGAAAAUUAGCCACAAAAUGAUUUUUAAAAGAAGUCAAAUGAUUUUGCACAAAAAAAAAAAAUUAAAUAAAUAAAGAAAGACAAAUGAUACAACUGCAGAAAUAACUCACAAAGAUGUCUCUCCCCCAACCUAUUGAUCUUCCCCAAAAUAUGUCUUUCUCCCAUCCCCCACCGCACACUGGAUCCAAAGAACAAAAAGCAGGGGGCUCUUUCGAGAUAUCUUUCUAAAGAUUCCGAUAGGUGUCUUUAAUCCCUUUAGCCAAUCACUCGAAAGGAUUGGGGCCAUGUUUACUAACAAUAAUCCUACGAGAGAAUUGGGCUCAGAGGAAAAGCGCCACAACCAUUUGGCUAAAAUGGCUUUAUUACGAAUCCUAAGGUUCCCAAUUGCUAAACGCCCCCAAUGAAACCGGUUUUUCGAUAACCUCCCAUCUUAUUAGGUGCAAGCCUUUUCCUUUUCCUUCAUCAAUCCCCUUCCAAAGGAAAUCACGCAGCAGUCUCUCCGAAAGCUUACACACUUCAUCCGGAGCUCUAAAGAGAGAAGAAAUAAAUCAAAAUACUACAACCCACUUUAGAAAAGAAACCCUUUUUCCAAGAGGCUAACCUACUAUGAACUUUGUCCAUCACGGGAUCCCACAGAGAAACAUACUUCAGAUUAUUCCUGAGAGAAAGGCCUAGGUAAGAAGAAGGAAGGCUCCCAACCUUAUCCGCCUCACUAUUGAUACCUGUUGAAAAUAGAGGGUUUUAGCCCUAAGGGCAUUUUAGUAAUUUAGCUUUGCCCUGGUUUGUACUAGGUUUCCCGCCAGUCUAUUUAUAUCAGUGUAUUCUCUUGUAUGAAUUAUUAGAAAAUAAUAAAAAGUUCUCUGUAUUGUGGUUUUUUCUCCCUGUUCUAGGAUUUUCCAUGUAAACGUUGUGUGCUCUUUUCUUCUUUUACUUUCAUCAAUACCCAAGACACAACAGUACUUUGAUUAGUCCCUUUCACAAGGUUUACUAAAAUCAUCUCUCUUUCUAUUAAAGAACAGAUUAGACAUCCUAAUCUAGGGCAUCCCAGUCUUUCUUUCUUAAAUACUUAUUUUUAAAUCAAAUUUUCUAGUUAAGGGCGUAAUCUCCCUUUCCUUGUCAGAGAAUGACUUAUCUCCCUGGCCUAUAAAUUUUGUAGGGCCCUUUUCUUUUCAAUGACGUGAUGGUUUCUCACUAUUAAGGGAAAAAAAAAAAGGAAAACUCUUCCCCCUAAUGCUUCAUGUAGAUAUCAUCAAUAAUAAAAGAAAAUUAAACCACACCACAUCCAAGCCAAUGAUAAUUUUUUUCUCUUGUGCAUACAUUCGUGACAAUCAUCCAAACAGAAAACGUGUUUCAACUAUGUACAACUG